rnacentral:rRNA from 1 species
UUAAAGUCUAACCUGCCCACUGAAAUUUUUAAAUGGCCGCAGUAUUCUAACUGUGCAAAGGUAGCAUAAUCAUUAGUCUUUUAAUUGAAGGCUGGAAUGAAUGGUUGGACGAGAUAUUAACUGUUUCAUUUAAAAUUUUUAUAGAAUUUUAUUUUUUAGUCAAAAAGCUAAAAUAAAAUUAAAAGACGAGAAGACCCUAUAAAUCUUUAUAUUUUAUUUAUUUUAAUUAUAAAGAUUAAUUUUAUUAUAAUAAUUUAAAAUAUUUUAUUGGGGUGAUAUUAAAAUUUAAAAAACUUUUAAUUUUUAAAACCAUUAAUUUAUGAGUAAUUGAUCCAUUAAUAGUGAUUAUAAAAUUAAGUUACUUUAGGGAUAACAGCGUAAUUUUUUUGGAGAGUUCAUAUCGAUAAAAAAGAUUGCGACCUCGAUGUUGGAUUAAGAUAUAAUUUUGGGUGUAGCCGUUCAAAUUUUAAGUCUGUUCGACUUUUAAAUUCUUACAUGAUCUGAGUUCAAACCGGCGUAAGCCAGGUUGGUUUCUAUCUUUAAUAAAUAGUAAUAUUUUAGUACGAAAGGACCAAAUAUUAAAAUAAUUAUAUUUUUAAAAAGAAUAUUUUUAAUAUAA